rnacentral:rRNA from 1 species
UCAUUUAGAGGAAGUAAAAGUCGUAACAAGGUUUCCGUAGGUGAACCUGCGGAAGGAUCAUUAUCGUACAAAAUGUGAGAGGGGCAUGCGAGGGCUGUCGCUGACUCAAAGUCGUGCACGCCCGAGUGUGUCGCCUCACAUAAUAAUCCAUCUCACCCUUUGUGCAUCACCGCGUGGGCACCCCUUUGGGAUCAUCUCGGAGGGGGCUCGCGUUUUCACACAAAACCCCCCUUUUAAAAGUGUAGAAUGACCUCAUUUAUGCGUUAACCCGCAAUCAAUACAACUUUCAACAACGGAUCUCUUGGCUCUCGCAUCGAUGAAGAACGCAGCGAAAUGCGAUACGUAAUGUGAAUUGCAGAAUUCAGUGAAUCAUCGAAUCUUUGAACGCACCUUGCGCCCCCUGGUAUUCCGAGGGGCACACCCGUUUGAGUGUCGUGAAAACCUCAACCUCCUUGGUUUCUUCUGGAGACCAAAGCAGGCUUGGACUUUGGAGGCCUUUGCUGGCACCUCUCGCCAGCUCCUCUUAAAUGAAUUAGCAGGGUCCUCUUUGCUGAUCCUCGACGUGUGAUAAGAUGUUUCCAUGUCUUGGUUUCUGGCUCUGUCACCUUUGGGACCCGCUUCUAACCGUCUUCAACCUUGCGUUGAGACAACGUUCGAGCAUGUCUCCCUUCUCGGGAAGCUCCCUCGACCCCACGAACCCUUGACCUCAAAUCGGGUGAGACUACCCGCUGAACUUAAGCAUAUCAAUAAGCGGAGGAAAAGAAACUAACAAGGAUUCCCCUA